UACGGAGGGGACUAGCGUUGUUCGGAAUUACUGGGCGUAAAGCGCACGUAGGCGGAUUUGUAAGUCAGGGGUGAAAUCCCGGGGCUCAACCUCGGAACUGCCUUUGAUACUGCAAAUCUCGAGUCCGGAAGAGGUGAGUGGAAUUCCUAGUGUAGAGGUGAAAUUCGUAGAUAUUAGGGAGAACACCAGUGGCGAAGGCGGCUCACUGGUCCGGUACUGACGCUGAGGUGCGAAAGCGUGGGGAGCAAACAGG
rnacentral:rRNA from 1 species